rnacentral:rRNA from 1 species
GAUGAACGCUGGCGGCGUGCCUAAUACAUGCAAGUCGAGCGAACGGACGAGAAGCUUGCUUCUCUGAUGUUAGCGGCGGACGGGUGAGUAACACGUGGAUAACCUACCUAUAAGACUGGGAUAACUUCGGGAAACCGGAGCUAAUACCGGAUAAUAUUUUGAACCGCAUGGUUCAAAAGUGAAAGACGGUCUUGCUGUCACUUAUAGAUGGAUCCGCGCUGCAUUAGCUAGUUGGUAAGGUAACGGCUUACCAAGGCAACGAUGCAUAGCCGACCUGAGAGGGUGAUAGGCCACACUGGAACUGAGACACGGUCCAGACUACUACGGGAGGCAGCAGUAGGGAAUCUUCCGCAAAGGGCGAAAGCCUGACGGAGCAAAGCCGCGUGAGUGAUGAAGGUCUUCGGAUCGUAAAACUCUGUUAUUAGGGAAGAACAUAUGUGUAAGUAACUGUGCACAUCUUGAAGGUACCUAAUCAGAAAGCCACGGCUAACUACGUG